UCAGUACGGUCGGAAAUCGUACGUAGAGUGUAAAGGCAAAAGAGAGCUGGAUUGCAAGACAUACAGGUCGAGCAAGGAUGAAAAUCGGACUUAGUGAUCCGGUGGUGCUGCGUGGAAGGGCCAUCGCUCAACGGAUAAAAGCUACCCUGGGGAUAACAGGCUUAUCUCCCCCAAGAGUCCACAUCGACGGGGAGGUUUGGCACCUCGAUGUCGGCUCAUCCCAUCCUGGGGCUGUAGUAGGUCCCAAGGGUUGGGCUGUUCGCCCAUUAAAGUGGUACGCGAGCUGGGUUCAGAACGUCGUGAGACAGUUCGGUCCCUAUCCGUCGCAGGCGUAGG
rnacentral:rRNA from 1 species